rnacentral:lncRNA from 1 species
AUUGUUGGCUGCUUUUACACACCUUGGUGAUGAGAACUGGAAACAUGAAGCAGAUCAUAAAGAUGGGAGGAACACACCCUUUGACCAGAAAAGAAAUGUGGCUUAAAUUGUGCGCAAAGAGGCUACAGAAAUGCCAACUCCUGGCAGUGAUCCUGAGGUCUCCAAAGAAGACAGAUUGGGCCCAGACCAGGAUUGUGGUGACGCUAAGCACUGGGAGAUACUGUACCAUGCCUUGCCUGCCACCAGGACCCUGAAUAAACUGUGGUCACUGUUAGGCUGACUUUCCUACUCUAAGUUAAGCCCAGAAGUCCAGAACACCUAAACAAAUGUGUAAUGAGCUGCAUUUGACUAAAGAACGGAGAUAUGCAGCUGUUAACUAAUGGCCGUGAAGAUCCAUGGGGCCUCGGUUAAAUGCCAGAUGUCUUCUCUGAUCUGCAUGUUAUUCUGAGACGACUAUUAUGUCAUGUGGUGAGAAUUUCGUAUGGUGAUUUUACAGUGAGAAAAAAAAACAUGAUUUGAUGAAAG